UGCAGCCCGCCAGGCUCCUCUGUCCAUGGGGGUUCUCCAGGCCAGAAUACUGGAGUGGGUUGCCAUGCCCUCCUUCAGGGAUUUCCCCAACCCAGGGACCGAACCCGCGUCUCUAAUGUCUCCUGCAUUGGUAGGUGGGUUCUUGACCACUAACACCACCUGAGAAGCCCAGCACUUUUUGCAACCUUAAUAAAGAUUCCUUCUCUGGUCCCCUUCUCCCCAGCCCACAGUCAUGUCCCUUACUUCUUCCAAGGGGAUUUUGUUAAUGACACUCUAGUUCCCAACUCAGCUAGCCCCUUCCCUGAGCCCCAGACCCACAGCCUCAUUGUAUAUUAAUGCGGUAAACAACAUAGUUCCUCAUAUCCUCCACACAGAACUGGGGCAGAUGGUUUUGCUGUUGUCUCAUUCAAACAGGACACAACCCCCAACUUUUGCUGGUUCUUGCAAGAGAUGGUGUACUGCAGGAGCCUCUUUUCCAGCCAACACUGUCUAUGCGUUACUGGGCCCCCAAUCCCUUCACCAGUGUCCCUGGUGUCGGCCCACCCAGGGAUUACACGGUCAGAUGGACAGCGAUGUUUCCCAUGCCCAGGGCAAUCACUCUACAGGCCUGAGGGGAAGGACACUGGGAGUCAGUGCUUCAGCAGGAAUCAAAGCAGAGAUCUAUAGGUGUGUCUGGGGAAGGCUUGGCGGCAGCUGGGGAUGGCAUUCUGGCUUAGAUUGGCAUAUGUUGUGAUGUGUUCCCGUGAGACUUCAGACACGUGGUAUCAUCUGCUGUCCACUCCCAACAGAAGUUCUGCAAACCUCUGCCAUUAGCAAAGCAUACUGGUGCUGGUGUAUACUUUGUUCUCAUAAGCCCCUGUUGGACGAAUAAAAUUUUAAGAAGUGUUUAUUGUUUUUCCCUUCUCUUUCGUCAUUAUCUCAUAAGAGCAAAACUACAUCCACAUGCUCUGCACUCAGCUGGGACGUUUUCUCUAAUCCCCUCAACACCUCUGUAAGGAGAACCUGGUGUAGCCGUUUUCUGGAUGAAACUCUUGGGGCUCAAAUUUACGAGACUUGUUCCAUCAAUAUCUGGAAGCCGUGUCUCUCUGAACUCCCAGGACCACCUACAGAAUGACUUUUGUCAAGGUCUAUGAUGUCCUGAUCUCUAAUUCCAGCUAGGUGCUGGUGAAAUCUACAAGUUUGAACUAAUUUACAUUAAUUUGUGAUUGACUCAUGACCCUUUAAAAGUUGCAGUCUUUAGGACUGCGAAAACAGAUUUCUUCUUUAAUUGCAAAUGAGCCUACAGUGGCAAAUGACCUCACACCUCCUCCACCCACCCA